GAUGAAGAACGUAGCGAAAUGCGAUAAGUAGUGUGAAUUGCAGAAUUCAGUGAAUCAUCGAAUCUUUGAACGCACAUUGCGCCCCUUGGUAUUCCAUGGGGCAUGCCUGUUCGAGCGUCAUUUGUACCUUCAAGCUUUGCUUGGUGUUGGGUGUUUGUCUCGCCUUUGCGUGUAGACUCGCCUUAAAAUAAUUGGCAGCCGGCGUAUUGAUUUCGGAGCGCAGUACAUCUCGCGCUUUGCACUCAUAACGACAGCGUCCAAAAGUACAUUUUACACUCUUGACCUUGGAUCAGGUAGGGAUACCCGCUGAACUUAAGCAUAUCAAUAAGCGGAGGA
rnacentral:misc_RNA from 1 species